rnacentral:rRNA from 1 species
UCCCAAACUGGGAUUAGAUACCCCACUAUGCUUAGCCCUAAACACAGAUAAUUACAUAAACAAAAUUAUUCGCCAGAGUACUACUAGCAACAGCUUAAAACUCAAAGGACUGGCGGUGCUUUAUAUCCUUCUAGAGGAGCCUGUUCUAUAAUCGAUAAACCCCAGAUAAUGCGACUAGCUAAUCU